rnacentral:tRNA from 1 species
GGGCCCGUAGGAUAAUGGAUAGUCUACCUCGCUUCGGACGAGUUGAUAGGGGUUCGAAUCCCUUCGGGCCUG